UUUGAUUCUGGCUCAGGACGAACGCUGGCGGCGCGCCUAACACAUGCAAGUCGAACGGAGCUUAAAGAAGCUUGCUUUUUUAAGCUUAGUGGCGGACGGGUGAGUAACACGUGAGCAACCUGCCUUUCAGAGGGGGAUAACGUUUGGAAACGAACGCUAAUACCGCAUAACAUUGCUUUGAGGCAUCUUAAGGCAAUCAAAGGAGUAAUCCGCUGAAAGAUGGGCUCGCGUCCGAUUAGAUAGUUGGCGAGGGUAACGGCCCACCAAGUCGACGAUCGGUAGCCGGACUGAGAGGUUGAACGGCCACAUUGGGACUGAGACACGGCCCAGACUCCUACGGGAGGCAGCAGUGGGGAAUAUUGCUCAAUGGGGGGAACCCUGAUGCAGCGACGCCGCGUGAGGGAAGAAGGUUUUCGGAUUGUAAACCUCUGUCUUUGGCGAGGAAAGAUGACGGUAGCCAAAGAGGAAGCUACGGCUAACUACGUGCCAGCAGCCGCGGUAAUACGUAGGUGGCAAGCGUUGUCCGGAAUUACUGGGUGUAAAGGGAGCGUAGGCGGGAAGACAAGUUGAAUGUUUAAACUAUCGGCUCAACCGAUAAUCGCGCUCAAAACUGUAUUUCUUGAGUGAAGUAGAGGCAGGCGGAAUUCCUAGUGUAGCGGUGAAAUGCGUAGAUAUUAGGAGGAACACCAGUGGCGAAGGCGGCCUGCUGGGCUUUAACUGACGCUGAGGCUCGAAAGCGUGGGUAGCAAACAGGAUUAGAUACCCUGGUAGUCCACGCUGUAAACGAUGAUUACUAGGUGUGGGGGGACUGACCCCUUCCGUGCCGCAGUCAACACAAUAAGUAAUCCACCUGGGGAGUACGGCCGCAAGGUUGCAACUCAAAUGAAUUGACGGA
rnacentral:rRNA from 1 species